rnacentral:snRNA from 1 species
AUACUUACCUGGCAGGGGAGAUACCAUGAUCAAGCAGGUAGUUUUCCCAGGGUGAGGCUCCUCCAUUGCACUUGGGAGGUGCUGACCCCUGCGAUUUCCCCAAAUGUGGGAAACUCGACUGCAUAAUUUGUGGUAGUGGGGGACUGCGUUCGCGCUCUCCCCUG